rnacentral:rRNA from 1 species
GUGGGGAAUAUUGGACAAUGGGCGCAAGCCUGAUCCAGCCAUGCCGCGUGUGUGAAGAAGGCCUUUUGGUUGUAAAGCACUUUAAGCGAGGAGGAGGCUACUUGGAUUAAUACUCUAGGAUAGUGGACGUUACUCGCAGAAUAAGCACCGGCUAACUCUGUGUCAGCAGCCGCGGUAAUACAGAGGGUGCGAGCGUUAAUCGGAUUUACUGGGCGUAAAGCGUGCGUAGGCGGCUUCUUAAGUCGGAUGUGAAAUCCCUGAGCUUAACUUAGGAAUUGCAUUCGAUACCGGGAAGCUAGAGUAUGGGAGAGGAUGGUAGAAUUCCAGGUGUAGCGGUGAAAUGCGUAGAGAUCUGGAGGAAUACCGAUGGCGAAGGCAGCCAUCUGGCCUAAUACUGACGCUGAGGUACGAAAGCAUGGGGAGCAAACAGGAUUAGAAACCCGGGUAGUCC